rnacentral:rRNA from 1 species
GACGAACGCUGGCGGCGUGCUUAACACAUGCAAGUCGAACGAUGAAGCCGGAGCUUGCUCUGGUGAAUUAGUGGCGAACGGGUGAGUAACACGUGAGUAACCUGCCCUUGACUCUGGGAUAACCGCGGGAAACUGUAGCUAAUACCGGAUACGACCCUCGGAGGCAUCUCCUGGGGGUGGAAAGAAUUUCGGGCAAGGAUGGACUCGCGGCCUAUCAGCCAGUUGGUGAGGUAAAGGCUCACCAAGGCGACGACGGGUAGCCGGCCUGAGAGGGUGACCGGCCACACUGGGACUGAGACACGGCCCAGACUCCUACGGGAGGCAGCAGUGGGGAAUAUUGCACAAUGGGCGCAAGCCUGACGCAGCGACGCCGCGUGAGGGACGAAGGUCUUCGGAUUGUAAACCUCUUUCAGCAGGGACGAAGCGAAAGUGACUGUACCUGCAGAAGAAGCACCGGCUAACUACGUGCCAGCCGCCGCUGUAA